rnacentral:rRNA from 1 species
AAAUUGAAGAGUUUGAUCAUGGCUCAGAUUGAACGCUGGCGGCAGGCCUAACACAUGCAAGUCGAGCGGAAACGAGUUAUCUGAACCUUCGGGGAACGACAACGGCGUCGAGCGGCGGACGGGUGAGUAAUGCCUAGGAAAUUGCCCUGAUGUGGGGGAUAACCAUUGGAAACGAUGGCUAAUACCGCAUGAUGCCUACGGGCCAAAGAGGGGGACCUUCGGGCCUCUCGCGUCAGGAUAUGCCUAGGUGGGAUUAGCUAGUUGGUGAGGUAAGGGCUCACCAAGGCGACGAUCCCUAGCUGGUCUGAGAGGAUGAUCAGCCACACUGGAACUGAGACACGGUCCAGACUCCUACGGGAGGCAGCAGUGGGGAAUAUUGCACAAUGGGCGCAAGCCUGAUGCAGCCAUGCCGCGUGUGUGAAGAAGGCCUUCGGGUUGUAAAGCACUUUCAGUCGUGAGGAAGGUGGUAGUGUUAAUAGCACUAUCAUUUGACGUUAGCGACAGAAGAAGCACCGGCUAACUCCGUGCCAGCAGCCGCGGUAAUACGGAGGGUGAGAGGGUUAAUCGGAGUUAGUGGGCGCAAAGCGCAUGCAGGGGGUUUGUUAAGUCAG